rnacentral:rRNA from 1 species
GCAAGUCGAACGGAUCCUUCGGGAUUAGUGGCGGACGGGUGAGUAACACGUGGGAACGUGCCCUUUGGUUCGGAACAACUCAGGGAAACUUGAGCUAAUACCGGAUGAGCCCUUCGGGGGAAAGAUUUAUCGCCAUUGGAGCGGCCCGCGCCCUGAUUAGCUAGUUGGUGGGGUAAUGGCCUACCAAGGCUACGAUCAGUAGCUGGUCUGAGAGGAUGAUCAGCCACACUGGGACUGAGACACGGCCCAGACUCCUACGGGAGGCAGCAGUAGGGAAUCUUGCGCAAUGGGCGAAAGCCUGACGCAGCCAUGCCGCGUGAAUGAUGAAGGUCUUAGGAUUGUAAAAUUCUUUCAGCGGGGACGAUAAUGACGGUACCCGCAGAAGAAGCCCCGGCUAACUUCGUGCCAGCAGCCGCGGUAAU